rnacentral:rRNA from 1 species
UACGGAAGGCAGCAGGGGGAAUAUUGCACAAUGGGCGAAAGCCUGAUGCAGCUAUGCCGCGUGUAUGAAGAAGGCCUUAGGGUUGUAAAGUACUUUCAUCGGGGAGGAAAAAACAAAACUAAUAAUUUUAUUUCUUGACGUUACCCGAAAAAGAAGCACCGGCUAACUCCGUGCCAGCAGCCGCGGUAAUACGGAGGGUGCUAGCGUUAAUCAGAAUUACUGGGCGUAAAGAGCACGUAGGUGGUUUUUUAAAGUCAGAUGUGAAAUCCCUGGGCUUAACCUAGGAACUGCAUUUUGAAACUGAAAUACUAGAGUAUCGUAGAGGGAGGUAGAAUUCUAGGUGUAGCGGUGAAAUGCGUAGAUAUCUGGAGGAAUACCUGUGGCGAAAGCGGCCUCCUAAACGAAUACUGACACUGAGGGUGCGAAAGCGUGGGGAGCAAACAGGGAUUAGAUACC